CCCAAAUGUAGGCAACUGCCUAGGCUGUAUUACGCCUAGGCAAAUGUAACAUUGCUGGGAGAAAAGCAGCUAAUAAUUGGCGGGCAUCCUGGUCCUGGUUAAUGCCAAAUUUGUGUUAAUUAUACCUGUGUACCAGCAUCGUUGUCUAUAUAUUUAAAGA
ensembl:snoRNA SNORA74 Small nucleolar RNA SNORA74